CCUACGGGUGGCUGCAGUGGGGAAUUUUGGACAAUGGGGGCAACCCUGAUCCAGCAAUGCCGCGUGCAGGAAGAAGGCCUUCGGGUUGUAAACUGCUUUUGUACGGAACGAAACGGCUCUGGUUAAUACCCGGAGCUAAUGACGGUACCGUAAGAAUAAGCACCGGCUAACUACGUGCCAGCAGCCGCGGUAAUACGUAGGGUGCGAGCGUUAAUCGGAAUUACUGGGCGUAAAGCGUGCGCAGGCGGUGCUGUAAGACAGGCGUGAAAUCCCCGGGCUUAACCUGGGAAUGGCGCUUGUGACUGCAGUGCUGGAGUGCGGCAGAGGGGGAUGGAAUUCCGCGUGUAGCAGUGAAAUGCGUAGAUAUGCGGAGGAACACCGAUGGCGAAGGCAAUCCCCUGGGCCUGCACUGACGCUCAUGCACGAAAGCGUGGGGAGCAAACAGGAUUAGAUACCCCAGUAGUC
rnacentral:rRNA from 1 species